rnacentral:rRNA from 1 species
GUCCUACGGGCGGCUGCAGUGGGGAAUAUUGGACAAUGGGGGCAACCCUGAUCCAGCAAUGCCGCGUGAGUGAUGAAGGCCUUAGGGUUGUAAAGCUCUUUUACCAGGGAUGAUAAUGACAGUACCUGGAGAAUAAGCUCCGGCUAACUCCGUGCCAGCAGCCGCGGUAAUACGGAGGGAGCUAGCGUUGUUCGGAAUUACUGGGCGUAAAGCGCACGUAGGCGGUUACUCAAGUCAGAGGUGAAAGCCCGGGGCUCAACCCCGGAACUGCCUUUGAAACUAGGUAACUAGAAUCCUGGAGAGGUGAGUGGAAUUCCGAGUGUAGAGGUGAAAUUCGUAGAUAUUCGGAAGAACACCAGUGGCGAAGGCGGCUCACUGGACAGGUUUUGACGCUGAGGUGCGAAAGCGUGGGGAGCAAACAGGAUUAGAUACCCGAGUAGUCC